ACGAACGCUGGCGGCGUGCCUAAUACAUGCAAGUCGAGCGGAAUGAUGAAGAAGCUUGCUUCUUCUGAUUUUAGCGGCGGACGGGUGAGUAACACGUGGGCAACCUACCUUGUAGAUUGGGAUAACUCCGGGAAACCGGGGCUAAUACUGAAUAAUCCAUUUUGCUUCAUGGCAAGAUGUUAAAAGGCGGCUUCGGCUGUCACUACGAGAUGGGCCCGCGGCGCAUUAGCUAGUUGGUAGGGUAAUGGCCUACCAAGGCGACGAUGCGUAGCCGACCUGAGAGGGUGAUCGGCCACACUGGGACUGAGACACGGCCCAGACUCCUACGGGAGGCAGCAGUAGGGAAUCUUCCACAAUGGACGAAAGUCUGAUGGAGCAACGCCGCGUGAGUGAAGAAGGUUUUCGGAUCGUAAAACUCUGUUGUAAGGGAAGAACACGUACGAGAGUAACUGCUCGUACCUUGACGGUACCUUAUUAGAAAGCCACGGCUAACUACGUG
rnacentral:rRNA from 1 species